rnacentral:rRNA from 1 species
AGAACGAACGCUGGCGGCGAUGGAUUAGGCAUGCAAGUCGAACGGGAGCAGCAAUGCUCCAGUGGCGCAAGGGUGAGGAACACGUGAACAACCUGCCUUCGAUUGGGGAUAGCUUCUGGAAACGGGAGAUAAUACCGAAUAACAUCACCGGAUCGCAUGAUCUGAUGAUCAAAGCAGCAAUGCGCUUGAAGAGGGGUUCGCGUCCCAUUAGCUAGUUGGUGAGGUAACGGCCCACCAAGGCGAUGAUGGGUAGCUGGUCUGAGAGGACGAUCAGCCACAUUGGGACUGAGAUACUGCCCAGACUCCUACGGGAGGCUGCAGUCGAGAAUUUUGGGCAAUGGACGAAAGUCUGACCCCAAGCAAUGCCGCGUGCGGGAUGAAGGUCUUCGGAUUGUAAACCGCUGUCAAGAGGGACGAAACAUGACGGUACCUCUGGAGGAAGCCACGGCUAACUACGUGCCAGCCGCGGC